GAGGAUGUGGCUCAAUGGUAGAGCAUUUGACUGCUUAGCAUGUAUGAGGCCCUGGGUUCAAUUCCCAGCAUCAUCA
rnacentral:tRNA from 1 species